AUUGAACGCUGGCGGCAGGCCUAACACAUGCAAGUCGAACGAGUGGCGGACGGGUGAGUUAUGACUGGGAAACUGCGUGAUGGAGGGGGAUAACUACUGGAAACGGUAGCUAAUACCGCAUACCAUCAGAUGUGCCCAGAUGGGUUUAGCGUGUUGGUGGGGUAACCGCUCACCAAGGCGACGAUCCCUAGCUGGUCUGAGAGGAUGACCAGCCACACUGGAACUGAGACACGGUCCAGACUCCUACGGGAGGCAGCAGUGGGGAAUAUUGCACAAUGGGCGCAAGCCUGAUUCAGCCAUGCCGCGUGUAUGAAGAAGGCCUUCGGAUUGUAAAGUACUUUCAGUGGGGAGGCGGUACUCACAGAAGAAGCACCGGCUAACUCCGUGCCAGCAGCCGCGGUAAUUC
rnacentral:rRNA from 1 species